CUGCAGCAUAAAAAGAGAAGCCUUUAGGAACCAUUAAUAUGCAUGCUGCCCAGAAGAAAAGCAGGUUCAUAAAUUUAUAGGUACUGUUGUCUGAGAAAAAAAACUAGAGGAAAGCAACCAGACCAGUAAUAAUUUACCAGCCCAGUAUCAACCUCAUGAUGGCAGUUUGCUUCCACUCUUUCAGGAUAUUUUUCCAACCUCUGAGACAAACACAAGUUACAUUAUUUAAACCUGCUUCCCUUAAAUUAUAAGAAUCAUGGCUCCCUUUUGGUUUUUAAGCUUGCUCAACCUAAGUGAGAUAAAGCUCCUCUUGUGUGGGCGGUCACUAUUCACUGUAAGGGAACUUAACCUGCACACUUACUAUUGCAGAGGACAGAGUUUUAAUGGAGACAAGAGGCAGAGAAGAAAAACUUACUGUAAAGGUGAAGUAUGAGAAAGUACUUAGAUACCAUCUAUUAACAGUUUACAUGAAUAUGCAUAUACACACAAAUAUGACUUGUCAAACAUUUAAAAAAGGAAACUUUCAUUAUUUUAAUUUAUGCCAUAAUAAUAUUCCCUGUUUUUUUGUUUUAGAAUCUAAAAAAUAAGUUUUAGAGUUGUAUUCUCAGCACAGGCAGUUUCUUCUAGAAGAAUAAAGUCAGUUUAAACGGGAAACUUUCAUUCUCCCAAUCAUCAGGAGUGAUUAUGUUUCUAGGCAACUGCUGGGGUUACUCUUAGCUAUGGCCCAUAAGGAAGAGCCCCAGCAGUGGCUGGAGCUAUAGUAAGUUAGUAAAGACCAUAGAUUCCAAGAAUACCACUGAUGGGAAAGCUCUUACAUUGCUUUUAUAAAUAUGUAAAUGGACCAUACUUUUUCCUUGUCUUUUUCACUCUUCCAACGUUAGCACUCCUCCUACUGUAUACAAGGCUUGGGUAUUUUAUUAAGGACCAUUUAAUGUACAUAGAGCAAAGGAAAACCUUGUUUAUGAUAUACCCAUAACAUUUACACUUGCUUGUACUUAAAGGACAUGCAUGGAAUAAAACAGCAGUAUUUGACAAAAUACAGAAAAGACCUAAGUUCUAGCUUCAACUGUAAGUAAGAAUGCUUUAUUACUUUCAGAUAUGCACAGUAGCUCAAACUCAUCAAAUUGUUAAGAUUCUAGCAAAUUACUUCAAUGACUAGAUAUGAAUCCCAUAUGAUGACAAAUUGCUUAUAAGCAAAUGGAUUUUUAAGAGCCUUAAGCAAUUAAGUAGCCUAAGCCAUAGGUAGUGUUUUUAUUGAACCUCAGCGGCUUGUACUAGAAGGUCUGGUGCACAGAGACCAACCUACUUGCCCAGAGGAGGAGCUUAUAGACUUAGGUGCUAAGUGACUUGCCCACGACCAUGCAGCCGCCAAUAGCACACAUGGUGCUUUCCUCUUCUCAUCAACAGUGCGAAGAUGGUCUUCAGCUCAAACUUCCCCAAUUUAUUCCAACUUCUAAAGCAGUAGUCUAAGAGUGAAAUAUUACAUAUGUAACUAUAUAUUUUCUUACGAACUUCAGGCACUAGGACAAGAAGCAGAUGAACAUGUAUAGCCAGUAUUGGGCCACCAUGCCCGUCCCACCUAGACUCAUACCUUGUCUCAUCCACUCGACCUCGUCCUCGGUGACAAAGCUGCACAAGGCUUUUGCCAUUGCCAGUCGUAUUGCUCCAGCCUGCGCUGACCUCCCGCCCCCUGAGACUGUGCAGGUCACGUCGUGCUUUCCCAGCCGGUCAACAAAGUGGAAAGGGAACAUCAGCUGUUCUCUAAAGCACAGCACAAGUAAAUGUGGUUACGUUUACUAUAAAGAUACAUAAUUAUGUAAACAACUGAAAUUCUGAAUAUUCAUAAAAACAAUAUUCUGCAUGCCACUGUUAUACUUUUCAUACUUCUCAAUCAAUCCAUUUUACCAAGAUAUAGAAACACUAACAUUUCUGACAUUUUGAAUGAUUUGCUGAGAGAUUAAGAUUUAUUUCUUUUGCUUGGGUAUAGCAACACACUCUUACUGUUUGCUGAUCCCCUUUAUCUCAGAAGAUCUUUUCAAAGCUUGAAAAUAAUCUCGUAAAGAAGUCUUACAGUUGGGGAACUCCAUUAAUCAACUGAAUUUAAUGUCUCUGGAUUGAAUGAUCAGAUAUAAAAUCAAUAGGCCUUUCCAAACAAUUAUCACAUGUCAUUUGGAUUCACUAAAUAAAGUCUACUAUAAGUGUAUCUGUAUAAUGUAUAAUGCUCAUCUUGAUAUGGUUAGUUUUUAAAGUUUCUAAAACUAUUUUCGACCUUGCACUUCCCUGACACCAAACACCUAUUCCCAAUAUUCUUAAAGUUCUCUAAAUCAUAGGGUCCUGCUACCUUCCUGGGGCCAGGUGACAUUCUACACAACCCCUGUCAGGCCUGCUCUUUCAGGGUCGGUCAGGGCCUACAAGAUCCUGGGGCAGGCACCACAGACAAAACACGGCCCUGGACUUUCUCCUGCUCAACUGAACAAGUAUUUGUUGAAUAUCAUUUUCACGCCAGGUAAGAUGUUCACCAUUACCUCUGUCAAGCACUUUGAUUUUGCUAUUUUGCCUUAAUAUCUUGCUACACUUUUAUGCAGAAAAGCUCACUUAUAUUGCGUUUGCUUUCUUUGAUGCUGUAGCUUCUAGACCCAAAAUCAAGUUUAUAUAACACAGUUAAGCUGAGAGACAGGUAUGGACAGGACAUUCAAGUGCUAUUCUUCAUACCACACUAGUAAAAUAAUCACAAGCAGAUGGGCAAAAGAUGACUUUCAAAAGCCAUAGCAAAUCGGAAUUUAUAACAAUACGAUGUAGGGAUGACAUAACUCCUACAACAACAAAAAACUCAUAAAUCUAUACUGUCUUUUUGAACAAAUGCUUCCAAGAAACCAAAUGAAAAGUAGCCAUAAGUUAUAAAAACAGUAUUAUAAGUAGUAUCUAUUAAUAUACUAUGAUAACUAAAGAAAAUUUAAGCUGAGCACCUAAAGUACAAGCUACUCAGGAGGCUGAGGUGGGAGGACUGCUUGAGCCCAGCAGCUUGAGUCCAGUCUGGGUCCAGAAGUUUGAGUCCAGCCUGGGUGACAUAAAGAGACCUUGUCUCUUAAAAAAAAAAAGUAAAUAUAAAAGAAAAUUUA
rnacentral:lncRNA from 1 species